rnacentral:lncRNA from 1 species
CGGCCCAUGUUCACCAGAUGACAGGCGUUCUUGGUCAACUGAAAAGACGGAAUCAAUUUUUUGUAACAUGGUUACUGCAAGGUCAUCAGAACUAUUCAAAGAUUUUGCAAGGCGAUCCAGCACAAAAGGUGAAACAUCAGCUCCUAAAUGCUGUAACUUUUGACGGACAAUACUUACCUACAAAGAAGAAAAGAUAAACACAUUCAAAGAGGGGUUUCUAAGGGAAAUAAAUAAAAACUAUGUUCUAAUUCUCACUGCUAAAGGGAUAUCCUGACACUGAGAUGCAGCUUUAAAUAAUAAGGCGAUUGCAGCUCCAAGUGCUUCACCGUUUAAAUCAUCCACAACAUUAGAGGCUUGAAGAAAUACACUUUUCC